rnacentral:rRNA from 1 species
GACGAACGCUGGCGGCGUGCUUAACACAUGCAAGUCGAACGGAAAGGCCUGCUUUCCCUUGUGGAUUGCGGGUACUCGAGUGGCGAACGGGUGAGUAACACGUGAGUGAUCUGCCCCCAACUUGGGUAUAAGCCUGGGAAACUGGGUCUAAUUCCCGAUAGGACUGCAGGGUGGUGCCUGUGGUGGAAAACGAUUUUCUAGUGGUUGGGGAUGAGCUCGCGGCCUAUCAGCUUGUUGGUGGGGUAAUGGCCUACCAAGGCGGCGACGGGUAGCCGGCCUGGGAGGGUGGACGGCGACAUUGGGACUGAGAUACGGCCCAGACUCCUACGGGAGGCAGCAGUGGGGAAUAUUGGACAAUGGGCGGAAGCCUGAUGCAGCGACGCCGCGUGGGGGAUGACGGCCUUCGGGUUGUAAACUCCUUUCGACCGCGAGGAAGCCACCUGGUUGGAAGGGUGGUGACGGUAGUGGUAGAAGAAGCACCGGCUAACUACGUG